rnacentral:tRNA from 1 species
GAGGGUUUAGCUUAUUGGUAGAGCACAUGCUUAGCAUGUACAAGGUCUUGGGUUCAAUCCCUAGUACCUCCA